rnacentral:rRNA from 1 species
AGCGAACGCUGGCGGCAGGCCUAACACAUGCAAGUCGAACGAACCUUUCGGGGUUAGUGGCGGACGGGUGAGUAACACGUGGGAACGUGCCUUUAGGUUCGGAAUAACUCAGGGAAACUUGUGCUAAUACCGAAUGUGCCCUUCGGGGGAAAGAUUUAUCGCCUUUAGAGCGGCCCGCGUCUGAUUAGCUAGUUGGUUGAGGUAAUGGCUCACCAAGGCGACGAUCAGUAGCUGGUCUGAGAGGAUGAUCAGCCACAUUGGGACUGAGACACGGCCCAAACUCCUACGGGAGGCAGCAGUGGGGAAUCUUGCGCAAUGGGCGAAAGCCUGACGCAGCCAUGCCGCGUGAAUGAUGAAGGUCUUAGGAUUGUAAAAUUCUUUCACCGGGGACGAUAAUGACGGUACCCGGAGAAGAAGUCCCGGCUAACUUCGUG